AUUCCAGCUCCGAAAGCAUAUAUUAAAGUUGCUGCGGUUAAAAAGCUCGUAGUUGGAUUUUAGGGGAACGCCUUAAAUUGAAAAGGGUAAAAUCUUUACACAAUUGGGCUUCCCCAAGAGGGGUGGUUGUUUCGAAAAUGGGUAAAACCGUUCUUUGUUACAUCGCCACCCCCUGUUACUUUGAAAAAAUGAGAGUGCUCAAAGCAGGCUACAAUGCCACGAAUAAUCUAGCAUGGAAUAACGGAAAAGGACCUCGCGUCUGUUUUCUUGUUGGUCUUCACACCGACCGAGGUAAUGAUAAAGAGGAACAAACGGGGGCACUCGUACCAAAGGGUUAGAGGUGAAAUUCUUGGAUCCCUUUGUGACGAACAAGAGCGAAAGCAUUUGCCAAGGAUGUUUUCAUUAAUCAAGAGCGAUAGAGUGAGGAUCGAAGGCGAUCAGAUACCGCCCUAGUUCACUCUGUAAACGAUGCCAACCAGCGAUCGGCUCCUGUUCUUUCUUAGACGGGGCCGGCAGCUUCUGGGAAACCAAAGUCUUUGGGUUCCGGGGGAAGUAUGGUUGCAAGGCUGAAACUUAAAGGCAUUGACGGAAGAACACACAAGGCGUGGAGCCUGCGGCUUAAUUUGACCCAACACGGGAAAACUCACCCGGACCGGACACUACAAGGAUUGACAGAAUACCGGCUCUUUCUUGAUCUAGUGGGUUGUGGUGCAUGGCCGUUCUUAGUUCGUGGAGUGAUUUGUCGGCUUUAUUGCGAUAACGAACGAGACUCUAGCCUACUUACGUAGUUUGUUGGGUGUUGGUUCGAAAGUUCCAUUCCCCCAACAACUCGAGAGAGAAAACUUCUUAGAGGAAUAAACGGAUUUUCAUAAACCGUACGAGAAAGAGCAAUAACAGGUCUGUGAUGCCCAUAGAUGUCCGGGGCCGCACGCGCGCUACACUGAGGUGAUCAGCGUGCUUCCUAUGGUCCGUGGCCGAAAGAUUAUACACGGUAACCAACAAAACUCCCCUCGUGCUAGGGAUAGGCUAUUGUAAUUCUUGGCCUUGAACGAGGAAUGCCUAGUAAGUACGGGUCAUUAACCCGUAUUGAUUACGUCCCUGUUCUUUGUACACACCGCCCGUCGCUACUACCGAUUGAAUGGUAGAGUGAGGUCUUUGGACGUUUCGAAUAUGGAGCUGCCUUCGGGUGGCACCGUACUUGAAGUGAAAGAUGACCAAACUCGAUUAUUUAGA
rnacentral:rRNA from 1 species